rnacentral:sRNA from 1 species
CCCACCACGCCUCUCCACGAUGCGUACCACGGUGGGA